GACAGAGGGUGCAAACGUUGCUCGGAUUUACUGGGCGUAAAGCGCAUGUAGGCGGGCGAUUAAGUCGGGUGUGAAAUCCCUGGGCUCAACCUAGGAACUGCAUCCGAAACUGAUCACCUUGAGUAGUGGAGAGGAAAGCGGAAUUCCCGGUGUAGAGGUGAAAUUCGUAGAUAUCGGGAGGAACACCAGUGGCGAAGGCGGCUUUCUGGUCCGAAACUGACACUGAGGCACGAAAGCGUGGGGAGCAAACAGG
rnacentral:rRNA from 1 species